AUUGAACGCUGGCGGCAGGCCUAACACAUGCACGUCGAACGAGCGGCGGACGGGUGAGUCAUGUCUGGGAAACUGCCUGAUGGCGGGGGAUAACUACUGGAAACGGUAGCUAAUCCCGCAUACCAUCAAAUGUGCCCAGAUGGGAUUAGCUAGUAGGUGGGUUAAUGGCUCACCUAGGCGACGAUCCCUAGCUGGUCUGAGAGGAUGACCAGCCACACUGGAACUGAGACACGGGCCAGACGCCUACGGGAGGCAGCAGUGGGGAAUAUUGCACAAUGGGCGCAAGCCUGAUGCAGCCAUGCCGCGUGUGUGAAGAAGGCCUUCGGGUUGUAAAGUACUUUCAGCGAGGAGGCGGUACUCGCAGAAGAAGCACCGGCUAACUCCGUGCCAGCAGCCGCGGUAAUAC
rnacentral:rRNA from 1 species